UCUCGUCGGUUUGAAGUUGGCUAG
rnacentral:miRNA from 1 species